UCCAGUGAGCUCGCCAAGGAAAGCAGAUUAAUUCUAUCAAACUCUUUCUUCCCAGCUAAGCUAAAGAAGAUCUAACCCUCCUCUUCCACUGAGGCCACUUCCUUCUUACCAUUUAGCUAUUUUCCCCAUCGAGAAAGAGAUCGAGGAUAGGUCGGAAGCUUCUUCCUUCGAAGGACUUUCUCCUUCAUCAAAUGAAUUCUCUCCCAUGACCCCAUUCAAUCAAUGCUACCGGGUAUUCACUCGCUUAUUGAAAAUCUUGCCAUACC
rnacentral:lncRNA from 1 species